rnacentral:rRNA from 1 species
UACGGGGGGGGCAAGCGUUGUUCGGAAUUACUGGGCGUAAAGGGCUCGUAGGCGGCCACCGCAAGUCGAUUGUGAAAUCUCCGGGCUUAACCCGGAAAGGUCAGCCGAUACUGCGGGGCUAGAGUGCAGAAGGGGCAACUGGAAUUCUCGGUGUAGCGGUGAAAUGCGUAGAUAUCGAGAGGAACACCUGCGGCGAAGGCGGGUUGCUGGGCUGACACUGACGCUGAGGCGCGAAAGCUAGGGGAGCGAACAGG